rnacentral:rRNA from 1 species
UAGUAGGUCUGGCCUGCCCAGUGAUAAAAUUUAACGGCCGCGGUAUAUUGACCGUGCAAAGGUAGCAUAAUCAUUAGUCUUUUAAUAGAAGGCUGGAAUGAAAGGUUUAACGAGAAAUUAACUGUCUCAAUUACAAACUUGAAUUUAUCUUUUGAGUCAAAAGACUUAAAUAUAAUUGGGGGACGAGAAGACCCUAUAGAGCUUAACAAUUUUUUUUCUAUAUUUAUUUAGUUAAAUUAUUUAUAUAUAUAUAUUGGAAAAAUUGUUUUGUUGGGGUGACAAUAAAUAUAUAUUUAACUUUUAUCAUAUUAUAAACAUUAAUUUAUGAUUUUUGGAUCCAAAAUUUUUGAUCAAUAGAUUAAGUUACCUUAGGGAUAACAGCGUAAUCUUCCCUCAGAGUUCAUAUUUACGGGAAGGCUUGCGACCUCG